rnacentral:tRNA from 1 species
CAGGGAGACAACAAAAUGUAAAUAUUAAUUUUGUCACCUUAGGUCGAUCGGUAUCUCAGAUUCUUAUUUUUUAAGAAUUUCAGUUUCUAAGUUUUUUCUAGGUCACACCCAUCACUUUUUCCUGGGCCAUUAGCUCAGGUGGUUAGAGCGCACCCCUGAUAAGGGUGAGGUCCCUGGUUCAAGUCCAGGAUGGCCCAUAUCUCUAUGUUGGGGGUAUAGCUCAGUUGGUAGAGCGCCUGCUUUGCAAGCAGGAUGUCAGCGGUUCGAGUCCGCUUACCUCCACUGAAUACCACCUCUUACAUAUACUUAAAGAGGGAAAUUGUUUUGAGUCGUGUCCUAAUUUGCUCUGAGCGAAUCUAGCUUCCUAUUUUAUUCAAUAAAUAAGAUGCUGGACUCAUUGAAUUUUUUUCAUUGUUUUCAGAGAACCUUGACAACUGCAUAGAUUAUUUUUGAAGACAAUAAGCAUCUUUAAUGAUGCAGAUUUAUUAUUUGUGCGAAUGCAUGAAAUAACAAUUCUAUUAAGCUGAUGCUUCAAUUAUUGAAGUUAUU